AAGGUUGGCUGGAUAUUUACAGACCUUGUCUCAGAAGAUACCCGAAAGGGUACCGUCCGCUACAGUCGAAAUAAGGACACCUAUUUCCUAAGUUCAGAAGAGUGCAUCACUGCAGGAGACUUCCAGAACAAGCAUCCCAACAUGUGCCGGCUCUCUCCAGACGGACAUUUUGGAUCCAAGUUUGUCACUGCAGUGGCUACAGGUGGUCCUGACAACCAAGUCCACUUUGAAGGGUACCAGGUGUCCAAUCAGUGUAUGGCACUGGUCCGUGAUGAGUGUUUGCUGCCAUGCAAGGACGCCCCGGAGCUUGGCUACGCCAAGGAGUCUAGCAGUGAGCAGUAUGUGCCUGAUGUGUUUUAUAAGUCUUCUUCAGUGUUUCAUUUUGGAUAAUUUCUUUUAGUCUUCACAUUCGUUGAUCUGGACUUCUACAGUGUCUCAUCUGCAGUUAAUCUCAUCCAGC
rnacentral:sRNA from 1 species